AGCCAUCAUUUAAAGAAAGCGUAACAGCUCACUGGUCAAGCGAACCUGCGCGGAAAAUGUAACGGGGCUCAAGCCAGUCGCCGAAGGUAUGGGUGUGCACUCUGUGCACGCGGUAGCGGAGCGUUCCGUAAGCCGAUGAAGGUGAGGCGUGAGCCUUGCUGGAGGUAUCGGAAGUGAGAAUGCUGACAUGAGUAGCGAUAAAGAGGGUGAGAGACCCUCUCGCCGAAAGCCCAAGGGUUCCUGCGUAAAGCUAAUCUGCGCAGGGUUAGUCGGCCCCUAAGGCGAGGCCGAAAGGCGUAGUCGAUGGGAAUCAGGUGAAUAUUCCUGAACCAGUUGGAAGUGACGGAUCUGGUAAAUUGUCAGGGCUUAUUGGAUUGCUCCUGGCAGUGAACAGGUCCCUGGAAAUAACUCCAACGGAGACCGUACCCGAAACCGACACAGGUGGGCAGGUAGAGUAUACCAAGGCGCUUGAGAGAACUAUGCUGAAGGAACUCGGCAAAUUGCACGCGUAACUUCGGGAUAAGCGUGACUCUC
rnacentral:rRNA from 1 species